GCCAGUGCCAACAAAAAGAUUAAGGAAUUAGAGCGCCGCUAAGUUAUCUAGAUUGGACCUUGAGGCAAUGCAUCUUAGUCAUCUAUCUUUAAAUUUGGUUUAGGUUUACUAUUAUUGUCAGUUUGCUACUAUUAUCGUCAGUUUGUUACUAGUUAGUUGUAAUAAAUGCCUCAAGAUUAAUAAAGAGUAUUAUUAUUAUUAUGUCCUGUGUGUCUCUACUUUAUUUUUGUGCAAGAAAGCAGAAAACAAGUAUGGGGGAGAUCCCUCAACACGCCAAACACACUUCGACUACACCACUCCACAAUUCAGGUACAUACUCUGCACACUUUACACAUACACAUAUCUUGGAUUAUGCAGAAUAUUGUUUCCGACAUGAUAAAGAUUAAAUUUUUUCUAAUCAUGAUUAAUCUCACUCUGUGAUAUUUCCAGAAAACUUGCAACUAUUAUAAAAUCAUUUUAAAACCCUGUGUUACUUAAGACAAUAUGGAAUGUGAGAUGGUAGAGUAUGAGUUUCUUAUCUUGAUAUCAUUGUUCCUUGGAGAAUUUAUUUCAAAGUCUUCAAAAUUCUAGCUACCAUCCUCAGUGUUUUAUAUGCCUGAUAAGAACUGAAAAUAUUAAUUAUAAUUAUAAAAGCUAUCGACUCUGUAUUGAGUUUGUUCAAAAUGAGUUAGACCCUUAUUGAGAAAUUUAUCAUGCUCCUAAGAUCAGGACAUUUAUUCAGAAAGAUUCACUCUUGCGAAAAUAAAGAUAUUUCGAGGAAAUAAAAAGGAGCAAGUGCUUGAUAACCUCGCAGAAAAAAUGGACAAGUGUCCGGCAGUAGAAUUAGGGAUACCUCGGUAUCCACUUAAAAAAAGAAGAGAAAAAAAGAAAAUGAUAGCCCAUGGUCCCUCUCAUAAGCAAUAUGCCAGCAAGAGUUGACAAAGAUUUUAAUUUCCAAAGUCUUUGAUCUAAGAGUAUGACAUUCCCCUCCUCGGAUCCCGUUUUGAUCAGGCGAUAAAUACAAAGUAAGUAUGCUUGAGAAUUUUUGCAAAUUAAAAUAGCCUCAGUGAGAUAUAUAAAAGAUAAUGAGUGAUCUGAGAAAACCUAUGAGGAUAAAAGGUAUGCUAACUUUCUUUUCAAAAAUAUAUAAAAACUCCAAGUGACACGAUUGAGAAGAAAGGAUCUUCACUCUUAACCAUAUACUUCACUGACUACAGUACACAGUGGAUUUUAACACCCUGCAAUUAUGAAAAGAAUGUUUUAAAAUGUUUUACCCCAGAUAUUGUUCUGAACCAUCCUUUUCUCGAGGACGAGUAAAAGCCUAAGUAUGGGGGCAUUUGUUGACGGUUCUUAAGUAUCAAUUUUAAUUAUCAAAUAAACAAUAGAAAGGACCAAUAUGCAACCAACUCUUAGAAUUAGGGUUUGAUCUGACAGAAUUCCACGAGUUUUGUUGUUUAUCUGUUUUUGUAGGGGGUUAUCAGGAAAUAAGGAAGAAACGCCCACAUCUCGGUAUUACAUAGAGAUAUCAACGCACCGCAUAAUUUUCUACCAUCUAGAAGACUCCAGAAGCCACGGGAAUAAAGCGGAGGCCGAAAGGGGCCAGGCCCAGGGCGCCCGCC
rnacentral:lncRNA from 1 species